rnacentral:rRNA from 1 species
UUAAAUUGAAGAGUUUGAUCAUGGCUCAGAUUGAACGCUGGCGGCAGGCCUAACACAUGCAAGUCGAACGGUAACAGGAAGAAGCUUGCUUCUUUGCUGACGAGUGGCGGACGGGUGAGUAAUGUCUGGGAAACUGCCUGAUGGAGGGGAUAACUACUGGAAACGGUAGCUAAUACCGCAUAAUGUCGCAAGACCAAAGAGGGGGACCU